UACGUAGGGUGCGAGCGUUAAUCGGAAUUACUGGGCGUAAAGCGUGCGCAGGCGGUUUUGUAAGACUGUCGUGAAAUCCCCGGGCUUAACCUGGGAAUUGCGAUGGUGACUGCAAGGCUAGAGUUUGGCAGAGGGGGGUAGAAUUCCACGUGUAGCAGUGAAAUGCGUAGAGAUGUGGAGGAACACCGAUGGCGAAGGCAGCCCCCUGGGUCAAAACUGACGCUCAUGCACGAAAGCGUGGGGAGCAAACAGG
rnacentral:rRNA from 1 species